UGAUGAAACAGCCGGGCCCACAUCGC
rnacentral:piRNA from 1 species